UGGGAAUCACUGGCCUUAGAAAUGGGU
rnacentral:piRNA from 1 species